rnacentral:snRNA from 1 species
GGUUGCAAGGUCAAUCUCAUGAUGACAUUGGUCUUCCCCAUUGAUUCUGGGGUUUAUCAGACUCAUCUGGCUGGAUGGGCAAGUGUCUCUUUUCUCCCUGUCUGCUUUACAUGCACACUUAAUAGAAAAGGACAACCUUCCCUGAGAGAAGUGUCCUGUUCUUUUUUUCAAGGGUAAAGGCAA